GACGAACGCUGGCGGCGUGCUUAACACAUGCAAGUCGAACGGUGGAGCUCCAGCUUGCUGUGGUGGCUCAGUGGCGAACGGGUGAGUAACACGUGAGCAACCUGCCCCUGACUCUGGAAUAAGCGCUGGAAACGGCGUCUAAUACUGGAUACGAGAAGGGCCCGCAUGGGCACUUUCUGGAAACUUUUUCGGUUGGGGAUGGGCUCGCGGCCUAUCAGCUUGUUGGUGAGGUAAUGGCUCACCAAGGCGACGACGGGUAGCCGGCCUGAGAGGGCGACCGGCCACACUGGGACUGAGACACGGACCAGAGUGCUACGGGAGGCAGCAGUGGGGAAUAUUGCACAAUGGGCGAAAGCCUGAUGAAGCGACGCCGCGUGAGGGAUGACGGCCUUCGGGUUGUAAACCUCUUUCAGCAGGGAAGAAGCGAAAGUGACGGUACCUGCAGAAGAAGCACCGGCUAACUACGUG
rnacentral:rRNA from 1 species